AGCCUAACACAUGCAAGUCGAACGGCAGCACAGGAGAGCUUGCUCUCUGGGUGGCGAGUGGCGGACGGGUGAGGAAUACAUCGGAAUCUACUUUUUCGUGGGGGAUAACGUAGGGAAACUUACGCUAAUACCGCAUACGACCUACGGGUGAAAGCAGGGGAUCUUCGGACCUUGCGCGAUUGAAUGAGCCGAUAGUCGGAUUAAGCUAGUUGGCGGGGUAAAAGGCCCACCAAAGCGACGAUCCGUAGCUNGGUACUGAGAGGAUGAUCAGCCACACUGGAACUGGGACACGGUCCAGACUCCUACGGGAG
rnacentral:rRNA from 1 species